GAAAAUGAGAGGAGUGGCCAUCAUGAUUGAGAAGUGGGGCUCCAGAAAGUAAUUCUAUCCUAACCUCAAGGAUGUUUCAAGAGAAAAUAAUCCCUUAAUGUCUGUGCUAGAAGUCUGAGAGACUGGCGAAGCUUUGAGGAGCCUCAAGUUUUACCCACACCCUAGACAAGCCUGCCCACUGCACACCGUGUCAGUGCAUCUAGAUGCGCUUCUCAG